CCAAAACUAUGUUGAAGAAAAGUGGCGAGAGUGGACAUCCUUGCCUUGUUCCUGAUCUUAGAGGGAAUGCUUUCAGCUUUUCACCAUUGAGGAUGAUGUUAGCUGUGGGCUUGUCAUAUAUGGCCUUUAUUAUGUUGAGGUGUGCACCUUUGGGACACGUAUAUAACCACCCGAUGCACAUCGUUGGUGACCUACGAGCAUAUCUACCUCAGCAGUGGGAAUGGGCCCUAGUACAUGAGAAUGUGCCUUAAACAGUGUCUGGCACAUAGUGUGGGAACUGAGGAGUGCAGAAUGGGAAGACUACUGAGGCUACUUAGAGAUGCCUCUCCCAGUGCUCCUUCAGGAUGCUGCUUCCAUCUAUGUUAAGCCCUGAGUUAACUCUGCAGAGAGGCCCCCAGUCACACAGGUUCCUUCUGGCCCAGAGUGACCCCCCUGUGGACGACUGCCGAGUGAGAGCAUCCAUGAUUACCAGAGGUUGCCCAAGCUCCAAAGGAAGAACUCCGUGAUCAACACCCCUGACACUACGUGGAAAUGGACACGACUGAUGAAUGUGAAAAGGAAUCAUUGAAAUGGAAAAUCCUGGAGCUGAAAGUGGCCGUAUCCAGCUCUACUCUGUGAAUUUUGUAUUUUUUCUUUUAUUUAUUCAUCAUCUCAACAGACAUGUUUUGCGAAUAUACUACAUGCAAAUUACUACAUUGGGUGCUAGGAAAAGAACUGUGAACGAGGGAAGAGGCCAUGUGAGGACACAGUGAGAAGGCAGCCAUAUACAAGCCUAGAAGAGAGGCUUCACCAGAAAUCAACCCAGAUGGCACCUUGAUCUUGGACUUCUAGCUUCCUGAACUCUUCUCGAAGACCAGUCCUCGUGAAGAAAGUGAGGGAAUACUCAUCCUUACUUCCCUCCCACUUCUGUCAGAGGGAACAAUAUUUCCCAAAGUGUGGAAUUCAGACUAGUGCUGAAUAUGUAAGCUGAAAGCAUCCUGACCGAUAAGAGUGGUUAAACUGGUUUCUUCAGUCAGUGAGGAGGGAAUUGGCUCCUGGCUCCACCACAGGAAUUAUAUGCCCUCUUCAAAGCUGCUUCCUCCUCUGAGACGCAGGUUAUGCAGUCAACAGUUUUGACAGCUACAAAGGGACCCAGAGCAGACUUUUCUCCUUUGCCUGAACUCUCCAAGGAUCCAGAGCCUAGGUACCAGCAGAGGAUUCUUGGGCCCAUCUGCCACCUCAGAGAGUCUGGAUGAAUUUGGAAAACCUUCCCUCUUACGCUAACUAUGACCUUCAACAAGUUGAUAAAGUAUACCUUUGUAAACGAAGAUGAAACAUUUAUCUUUUUCUCUCUACCUGAUCCCUCCAGAAUUUGGCUUCUCCAGUUGGCUCCCCUGUGGACUUGAUGGCUUAUUUUGACCAGAUUACAACUAGUUAUACUGUUAAACUGUUACACUGUUUUAGUUUGUUCUCGGCAUUUUCAAAUUACUUAUGCCUUGUGCCUCUCUCUGCUGCACUAUCAGUUUAUUAAUGUUACUAGCUGUAUUACUUAUGUCCUGUCUGUUUUAUGAGAUUGUUAUCUCUUACAUUACCAAAGUGUAACCAAGCCUCCAGCAAAAUUAAUGACAUCUCGAGUUAGUUGAUCAUGUACAUAACUCUACAUAGAAUAAUUGUAGUAGUGCAAUUCUAGAUCUGGGAAGAAGCAACGAGGGAAAACAUUUCCUGGAUCACAACAGACUAAUAAGACAGGUGAUCCAGAGAAUUUUAGAUUAUCAACAGGGUCUAAUCCACAACAAAUCAGCACAUUGAGUGGCCUAGCAACAGAAUCUUCCCGUGAUCAAGGGAUGAGCCUUCCUAGCCCUGAGGGACAAAAUUGGUCAUGAAAUGCCUCCCAAAUACUGGUUGAAUUUAUGGCCAAGGGGAAGCACUGUGAGCAAAGACUGUCACCUGCCGUAUCAGUAAACAAGCCAUGAAGCCAUCAACCUCUGCAGCCCCCACCAAUGGUGCAGCCUGAGGGGAUUCAGAAUGGAGAAAAACACGAUACUGGCCCUAGACAGUUAAGGUGCAUAUUAAAGGAAUGAUUUCAAUGAGCCAAGGGCCUUGCAUCUUCCCAUACAUAGAAAAGCACUAAAUUCAUUAACUGUAGAUGUCUGUUUUUUCAUUAAUUAGCAGCAAUCUUGUGAUGUUCGACUUCCUGAUUUUAUUUUUGCAAAAACUCCUACGUAUUCCUGGCUCCUCCCUUACCUCUUUGGAACACUCUCUCAGAGCUAUCUGAGAGGCUGUCUCCUGGGCUGAGGUCCUCAGUAUGUCUGCUGAAUAAAACAUAGUU